rnacentral:lncRNA from 1 species
ACUGCCCCCUCUGCCACACCCCUGACUCCGGCGGGCACAUCCUCGGAGGCUGCACACACCCUAAAAUGAAAGGCGCGUACAUCAACCGGCACAACUGGGCAGUCCAGCGUGUCGCCAAAUGCAUCUCCAAAGGGACCUACGGGAACGGGUUCAUGGUCAUGGACGCGGGCCCCCUAGCCGACCUGCCACACUAUGCGUCUGCACAACGCCCCCCUGCCUGGCUGGCUGCGGAGAGGACAUCAUCACCCCUUAUUACAAGGCUCAGACCUGAC